rnacentral:rRNA from 1 species
AAGGAAAAACUUCCAUCAGAUGAAGGAAAGGAAAUUUUGCUUAAAGCGGUUGUUCAAGCCAUACUCACCUAUGCAAUGUCAGUCUUUAAAAUUUCUAGUUUCUUUUGCAAAGGAAUUAUUGACGCGAUGGCGCAUUUGUAGUGGGGAGACAAGGACAACCAAAGGAGGAUGCAUUGGAUAGCUUGGUGGAAAAUGUAUGCACCCAAGAAUCAAGGAGGAAUGUCCUUUUGUGAUAUCCACUGCUUCAAUUUGGCUACACUCGGUAAACAGGCUUGGUGUCUCAUUGAGAAGUCAGAUUCUCUAUGUGCUACCAUUUUGAGAGUCAAAUACUAUCUCGCGGUGACUUGUUCAACACUAAUCUAA